AGUUACAAAAAUAAGAUGUGUAUUGAAAUGUAAUAGACUAAUGUAAUAAAGAAAAUAUUAGCAUGUAUCCACCCAACUGAGCCCACUUGGGUUGGGUUUGGGUUGAGAAUUCCCAACCCGAGGUUAUGUUGGGUUGGGUUAGGGUUGAGAUAUAGGAACCUUGGGUUGGGCUAGGGUUGAGCAGCAACCCAACCAACCCACCCGACUUUCAGCCCUAUUUAAGUCCGAGCCUGGCCCUCAGGCCAAAUACCACAACCCAAAGCAGGCCCAAGGCAGGCUAGGCCUGGAAGUUUGUCAUCCCAGCCCAGCCCAUUGACAAUCCUAGCAAUACUGCCUGGUCCGGUUACUAAGAAAGCAUGCAAGUUUUUUUUUCUAAAAGUUUUCCAAUACGCCACACCAUUAAUUUAAUUGAUUAUCAUUGGGUACCUUUCGCAUGGAGAUUUGUGAAUGGAAGUUGAGGUUCAACAUGCAAGCAAGGAGUGGGUGGCUUAAGAGGACAUGUGCAUCACCCAAUGUAUAGGUGCAAAGAAAGUAGAUUUUUCUCAAGAAAAUCAAGCAAUCAAGGGGUGAAAGCGUGAAGUUGAGAGAUCCAGACAGGAACUUGGUACAUAUAUGAACCUUUGGUGUUUGGAGAAUCUGUUCUAAAUGAUGCAGUAUGCAUUUAUACCUCCCAUCUUCAAAGUCUUUAAUAUUUCUAUCCUUUUUUUUUUUUUGCCUAUCCUUUGGAAGUUUUCCUUUGAUGAUGGUAUGUGUUAAGUGAUGCAGUGAAGAGAAAAAUGAGAAGGCUGCUUGUGGGGGCCAGUAGUUAACAUACACCCAGCAGGUGGAAGAUGGUGGAUGUUGGCAACAAGAAAGCCUUCCUAAUAACUAAUAUAAGGAUGAGUUGAUGAAUGAGGAUGCUUGUUUAUCUCCCUCUGGCACAUAUCUUUGAUCGGGUGAUUGAGGAGCUGUUUAUUUGUCACGGUGCCUUGAUAGGAUUUUGGCGUGGGACUAAAGAAGAAAAAACAUCACAACAAAAGCGUAAUUUUGAGAAGCAACUCUUGGAAGUUGAACAUUUAUGGUCACAGGCACAAAUGAUUCAUUGUGUGCACUGACUGUAUCUACCCUCAUGUAACGAAGGCAGAUGCUAUUUGGAGACUCCCAUCUAUGAAAUUCCUUUCUUACAAUCUUCCUACUCAUCCUUAGGACUAUCAACAUGCUGGGCUUGGGGUUGGCUACAACUUGAAUUUUGAACUGUUUGGUCCAAGCCUGAUGGGCUGGACCUAUUCAAAAUUUUGAUAUCGUGUGGCCCAAGCCCAGUCUAUUGACAACACUACUCUUCCUAGUAAGAUCUUGAUCACUCCCGACUUUCUUUUGUUGAAAGUUUUGCACCAGCUUAUAGGCUUCUAGAAACAACCGCACAUGAUUUUGGCACUCUCUAAUCACUUGAUUGCUUGUAAGAUUAGGGCAUGGAAAAGAGGUAAAUGAUCAAUUGACUUCUUAUUUUUGUAUGAAAAAUUGAGGAAUUAUAGAAUCAUCGGGCGAUGAUAUAUGUACCAUAUGCUUUGAGCCUUGAGUUUAUAAAAAUGUAGUCCAUGGAUCAGUUAUCGAGAUGGUUCAUCUAAUGGGUCCCACCAUGGAUGAGGAAUCCCCUCAAAACACCCUUUGAUGAGAAUAUUCUUCACCCUUGAUCAGUGUCUAGAAAAUACAUUGUUUGUGGUGAUCUGCAUUCAACAAAAAAUGCCAAAGAUUGGAUGAGUACAAUCUCCCAAUCAAGUUGAUGCUUUGGUAAUCUCACAUACACAUUGGGCCCCUUUUGAUGAAUGUUUUGGGUUAGUGAUCAGUGGGCUCCCCUUGCACAAACUAUAAGCUAAGGAUAUGGUGUAAGUCCUAAAGAUGAUGAUUAUGCAUGAUUCUCUUUAUCCUAAAACACAUUUCUCACCUAAAACACGUCACGCAAGAUACAGUUUUUUUUUUUUUUUUUAAUGUAUCAAGAUUCCUUGUGUGAGGCCAUGAUUUGGGGCACCCCGAAAGCCUCCCAUAUUGGAAUAUUUGUAACUGUUCAAUUGUUGGUCCAUUUUUCAUUGAAUGUGGACCUUUCUUGUAGCUUUUCAUUAUACAAUUUCUAGGCCAUUGAUUGUCUUCCAAAUGGAGAGAUCCUGGUUCUUUGGAUUGUGGGUCACUAAAAAUAGCAAUGUGAAUUGCAAUGACCCAUAAUCCAGUUUGCUCACUCUAUCUGGAAUUCAUGGUGGGGUUCAUCAGAUUGAUGGUCUAGAUCAUCAAAACAUGGGCUCCAUGUGUACGCAUGAGAAAAUUGCACUUGUUGAGAGCUGGAGCCCUAUAAUUGCCCAAGAAGUUUCAUGCAAAGUUACCAAAUUAUAUUCUUGGUUUUGCGUGCUUAACUCUCUAUCGUUCUUUCUUUUUUUCUUUUCCAGCUACUCUACCAAAGAACAUGAAGACAACGGGAUAUGAAAUAAUUAACGAAGGUAAGGAAAACAUUUUACUUUUGAACUUUGCCUGCUAUUUAUUCUGCUUACAAGAAUUGUACCUUGCAUUAGGCAAUGAAUAGGCCAAAUUAGCCUGUGGGCUUUGGCUCCUGACCUGAAUGGGUUGGGCUUGGGUCUAAUAUAGACCCAUUGACAGGCCUAGCUCUGAUUUGAAAUGGGUUGGCCUUAGACCUAGGUCAGGCUGGCUUCCAGGUUAACUGACCCAACCUACUUUUGAGGUAGGUUCAGGCCAAACUAAUUGGGUAGUGGUUCGUGUUCGAGCUGGGCUGGGUUGAACCCUUCCUACCCAUAGGUUUUUAAUGGGUUGAGCCAAAUGACCCGACUUGACUCUACCCAAAACCCAAAAUAAAAUAACCAAGAAAAGUAUGGACUCUACUUGAUUUCUUGGGUCCAAUUUAUUGAACUUGAGCUCCUUAAAAUUGAGUUGGGUUCAUCACGUACCCAUUGACAUCCCUACCGACCUUAAUGCGACCCUUGUGAUAAACGGGUCAGAUUUAGAUAGAGGGCCAGUGUUGACCCAUUAAAUUAGUGAGUCGGUUGCUUUUUAUUUUGA